rnacentral:rRNA from 1 species
UACGUAGGUGGCAAGCGUUGUCCGGAUUUAUUGGGUUUAAAGGGUGCGUAGGCGGCUUUGUAAGUCAGUGGUGAAAUAUGGCAGCUCAAAUGUCAAGGUGCCAUUGAUACUGCGGAGCUUGAGUACAGAUGAGGUAGGCGGAAUUGACGGUGUAGCGGUGAAAUGCUUAGAUAUCGUCAAGAACACCUAUAGCGAAGGCAGCUUACUAGGCUGUAACUGACGCUGAGGCACGAAAGUGUGGGGAUCAAACAGG